GUAAAGCACAGGGAAGCAUUGUAAAGCACAGAGAGGAAUAACUCGGACAGACAACUGGGGGUUGGGACUAUCCCUGGCAGUUAGUCUCACAACAAACCAGGUUUUGGUUUGCGCGCCCCACCUGGCGCACCCUUGCGGCAAGAACACGUAUCUCAACAGCGUCUGUUUCAAAUUGGACGGGGAGUCCCUC